rnacentral:tRNA from 3 species
GGAGCGGUAGUUCAGUUGGUUAGAAUACCGGCCUGUCACGCCGGGGGUCGCGGGUUCAAGUCCCGUCCGCUCCG